rnacentral:rRNA from 1 species
GACGAACGCUGGCGGCGUGCUUAACACAUGCAAGUCGAACGGAAAGGCCCUGCUUUUGUGGGGUGCUCGAGUGGCGAACGGGUGAGUAACACGUGAGUAACCUGCCCUUGACUUUGGGAUAACUUCAGGAAACUGGGGCUAAUACCGGAUAGGAGCUCCUGCUGCAUGGUGGGGGUUGGAAAGUUUCGGCGGUUGGGGAUGGACUCGCGGCUUAUCAGCUUGUUGGUGGGGUAGUGGCUUACCAAGGCUUUGACGGGUAGCCGGCCUGAGAGGGUGACCGGCCACAUUGGGACUGAGAUACGGCCCAGACUCCUACGGGAGGCAGCAGUGGGGAAUAUUGCACAAUGGGCGGAAGCCUGAUGCAGCAACGCCGCGUGCGGGAUGACGGCCUUCGGGUUGUAAACCGCUUUCGCCUGUGACGAAGCGUGAGUGACGGUAAUGGGUAAAGAAGCACCGGCUAACUACGUGCCAGCAGCCGCGGUGAUACGUAGGGUGCGAGCGUUGUCCGGAUUUAUUGGGCGUAAAGGGCUCGUAGGUGGUUGAUCGCGUCGGAAGUGUAAUCUUGGGGCUUAACCCUGAGCGUGCUUUCGAUACGGGUUGACUUGAGGAAGGUAGGGGAGAAUGGAAUUCCUGGCGGAGCGGUGGAAUGCGCAGAUAUCAGGAGGAACACCAGUGGCGAAGGCGGUUCUCUGGGCCUUUCCUGACGCUGAGGAGCGAAAGCGUGGGGAGCGAACAGGCUUAGAUACCCUGGUAGUCCACGCUGUAAACGGUGGGUACUAGGUGUGGGGUCCAUUCCACGGGUUCCGUGCCGUAGCUAACGCUUUAAGUACCCCGCCUGGGGAGUACGGCCGCAAGGCUAAAACUCAAAGGAAUUGACGGGGCCCCGCACAAGCGGCGGAGCAUGCGGAUUAAUUCGAUGCAACGCGUAGAACCUUACCUGGGUUUGACAUGGAUCGGGAGUGCUCAGAGAUGGGUGUGCCUCUUUUGGGGUCGGUUCACAGGUGGUGCAUGGCUGUCGUCAGCUCGUGUCGUGAGAUGUUGGGUUAAGUCCCGCAACGAGCGCAACCCUUGUUCACUGUUGCCAGCACGUUAUGGUGGGGACUCAGUGGAGACCGCCGGGGUCAACUCGGAGGAAGGUGGGGAUGACGUCAAGUCAUCAUGCCCCUUAUGUCCAGGGCUUCACGCAUGCUACAAUGGCUGGUACAGAGAGUGGCGAGCCUGUGAGGGUGAGCGAAUCUCGGAAAGCCGGUCUCAGUUCGGACUGGGGUCUGCAACUCGACCUCAUGAAGUCGGAGUCGCUAGUAAUCGCAGAUCAGCAACGCUGCGGUGAAUACGUUCCCGGG